UAGAAUAUAUAGAUUCUUAAAGCCAUAUUCUGAAGCGUUUCACUCUUUAUUUUAUUCAUUAAACAGCCUCUCUUUUCACUGCUUUUUGAAGUCAGACUCUAGGAAAGUAUUACUCUCAGGUUCCUUCACUUUGUGUAGCCUUCAGAAUGGACUAUUGUCUAUCUCAAUAAUUACUGGAGGUGAAUCAAAAUCUGAAUUUUAGACAGACUUGAGCACCCACAAAAAAUACCCCAGAAAUGUGUUUGCAAAUAGGACAUUUAGCACAUUUCAGGACUUGGUAGCAGAGUGCACACAUUGGUUAAGAUUUUGUAAACUGCUGUUAGAUUCAAGCUAUGCAUCAUCACAAAGGGUUUUUUUUUAAUUUGGCUCUCUGAGGAAGACGUGCAAUGCAGAACCUCUGAAUCUUUUGGUUGCCAGAAUCAGCUGAGAGCAAGGUGAUGGAAACCUGCUUUCUGUCAGGGGGUGGAUGAGGCACACUGAGAUGAUUAAAUCAAUUACACCAGAAUUCCCUUUCCAGACCACAGUGCAGCUCUCUGGGACCAUCUCCAUUGCAGCUGAGCUGUCCAGCUUUCCUUCCUGUUUGACUGAGUUGACACAAAACCAGCAGAAAAAUGAAGAAUUCUUGUAUUAAUCUCCACCUUGAAGGAGCACUUGAAUCUCAUCAUUGAGAGCAGUGACUAGAUUUCAGCCUUGCCUAGGGACAAAGCAGACUGGCACAUGCCUAGGUGAUUUGGGUGCUUUCAAAGGAGUUGUGCCUAUAGAGUGUUUUAAGAGCCUGCUUGUCUCUAGUGAUAGAAGCUCUUCAGAGUGUGGCUUUUCAGCCUUGAGAUCGAUUUAAUCAGUAAUUUUCAUUCAUUUUCUAAAAGGGAUGACAGCAUUGUGGUCUGGAUAUUUUAUCUAUGUUUGCUUUCCCUGUGAAGACAACCAUUGCUUGGGAAAUUGAAUUUGUAUCUAGAGUUUUGGUUAUGUAUUUUGAAUUUUACAAUUCAAAAAUUGGUCUUGACACUAAAGAUCCAAACAGUGGGAUUUGGGGAAAACUUAUUUGAAGUCUCUUCUAGCCACCAUUAGAAUUAUAGCAUGUUACUUUCUGUUGGUGUAGGGUUCAUGUAACCUGCCCUAGAGACUGAAGAAAAUUUUCUGUUUGCCAUUGAGGAAGAUAACUGCUCUCACUAUGUCAUGUUGUUAUUUCAAGGCUAGUCUUUAUUUCUGCAUUUUAUCCAUUAGAGACAGUUACUGAUGUGCCACUGAGUCUUAGAAAAUGUUGAUUUUUACAUAAAGUAUAUAAAUUAGUGUAUGGUGUGGUGCAGAUUAGGUCAUUUGAAAAGUUGCUUGCCAGAAAAAAUAACUGACGUUACCUAAUGCCAACAGUUUUCAGUUUGAAAGAGUUUUUCAGUUUUGAAGAGCUGCAAUCGUGCUGUGGUAAAGGAAGAAGAAAAAGAUAGUUAGAACCUGUUCUAUUUUACAUAAAUCAGAGCUUGUGAGGCUGGAUUAAUUUUGUCUUCCCGUGACAAUGUUCACUGUCCCUUGCGGUAGACGGGCUGGGUGGCAUCCAUGAAUCCACCAGCAGGAGGAUUGUCAUUAAAUGGAAGAAGUGGUGCAAUAUUUCACCACAAGGGGUUGUGGAUGUGAAAAGCAGUCAUGUGGAUGCUGAUGGCUCAAUGGAAGAUUUUUCCUGAAAGGAUUUUUGCCUGAACUUUGUUCCCUCUGAGUGUAUAUCUGGCCACACAUAGUGGUAGGUUUGAAUUUGCUUACUUUGUGUGUUAGUUGUGUAUUUGUGAUCUGAUCUGAAACUUAGCCUGAGAAUGUCUCUUUUACAUCUGGAAAUGAAUUUUUUUCCCAAAUGAGUCUUACCAUAUGUUAUUUCGAAACAUAUAAUUAUAUACAAAAAGUCUUAAAGCAGGAACUAUAUUUAUUCAUGACUCAUUAGUCUAAAAAUUUGGAGAUUGUUUUUUAAAGUUGGUGCAGGUAACAUUGGAAUGGCAUUGUUGGACUAUCCUGUCAGCACACCAAGAAAUUCUGUCAUGAGAUUAGUCUAGACAAGCUUAAUAUUAUCAGGAUUGAAGCUGUCAGUGAUAAACCUCCUAGGAAGAUCUUUCUGUGUUGUACUCCAAGUGUUACAAAAAGGUUAAAUUCUUCUCCUUCCUUCAACAUUCUCUAAGGUGAGAAUAAAUUGAAUUACUUUUAGCUUAGCUCCCUUUGCAAAUUAAAUGCUCGUCUUCAUUAUUUGACUCAUUAUCUUGGUUAAUUUAACCAAAUAAUAGUAGAUUCAGGGUAUUAAAAUAUUUAUUUGAACUGUUGUGUUCUGAAGAUGUAGUAAUGGCACAGGUUACUUGAUAAGACUGUAAAAUAUUGUUUGAAAUAGAAGUGUGCAAGUUUCUGAACUCAAUUCAUAAUAAAGAGCAUUGUGAUUUUCAGUUGAGCUUAAUUCUAUAGUAUAUUCUUUUGACAGUUUUAAUUAUAUGAAAAUUAGAGAGUUGAAGCACAUGGUAUUCUCAUGGAAGAUCCUACCUACCAGAGCAGCUUGAGACUUCCCUGAGGUUUGUUCAUCUAACAAGAAUUAGGAUUUUAACUAGUGCUUUAGUUUAAAAGAAAUCUUACAGUAGUGUUCUGAUGUGGAACCCCAUCAAAGCAGCUUGUUCAGUAUGGAUGUGAGCCCACAUUUGUGGUUUUAUCUGAGCCUGCUGCAGAAAAUCAGCUUCUCAGGAGAGUCCCCCUUCUCAAAGCAAACAAGUAAAACAAGCACACUCCUUCCCCUCUCCCUUCCAAUGUACUUCAAGCUGUUUCACGUGUGUUUUCCUAGCCCAGGAAGAUAUUUUGGUUUUUAAUUAUUUGUAUUAUAAUAAUAAUUAUGUAUAAUAUCUAUUAAUAUAUUUGCAUAUAUAAUUAAUAUUGCAUCCUACUAUAUGAUUCAUUAAUACUAUAUUAAUAUACAAUAUAAUAUAUAAUGAUAAAUUUUUGUGGGUUUUUUUAACAAUUUAAAAUUGUUACUUUGUUUUUAAAGGUAAGCUUUGUUUCUAUAACACGUUCUGCAUAGUGAGCUACAGCACCCUCACUGGAGGUGUCCUGGGCACCCUGUAAGAACCUAUUCUUGCUUACCUUUAAAAGCCCCAGUUUUGACAAGGUCACUGACUGCUAAAUGUUUUAAAGAUUAUCAGUAGGAGGGGUUUUGUUGGUAGCUGAGGUCAGUUAUUAAAAGUUAAAGUUCUCUGGUGAAAAGCAGGUCUGUACUUGCACAUUGUAAGCCUUGAAGCAGUUUCAGCUACUUUAAUUAGCUACUUUUAUUUUUGUUAGGCAUGCAAUUUAACCUGACUGCUAAGAGCUCUCUUCACUUGUCAAUAUAACUGAAUUUAUCAUCUUUUUAAAGCUGAAAAAGAUAACCUCAAGAGAGGUACAAAACAGUGAUUUGCUAAAUAUAAUUCUACAAAAUACCAGUUAGCAGAAUUCACCUUCCUGAAGUAUGGCUAAAUGCCAAAUACUGUAACUUGUGUGUUUGACAACUCUGGUGUGGCAUGUGCUAAUUAAAUGCAAGUGACACAAAGUAUAUCCCCUCAAGCUUAGUAAACGUGGACAUUAGAAAAGUAUCUUUAAAUGGAAUUUGAGAUUAUUAAAAUAAUCUCACUUUAUAACCUGCAGCCAUUUAGAGAGAUGUUUCAUAGCUGGAGAAAGACACACCUUAGGUCACAGGACCACAAUGUAGAGCCAUCUAUCUGGUAAAAAAAUUAUCAAUACUGAUAGGCUAUGACAGGCUUUUGGCAGCUUUAGGGCAACCUGUCUAGACUUUGUAGAGAGAAAAAAAAAUAAGCCAUCUGUACAUUACAUUGUUGCAGGCUUAUUCUUUCCUCUUACAGCUCUCAUCAUUUUGAGCAAUUAUACUACAAAUGACCACUGGAGUUUUUCAAAGACCUUCAUGCUGCUUAAUAUAGUGAUGUUAGAAAGUCAGGUAUUAUAAAUACAGUAUUUACAGUUCUAGUGCUUAUUCAGCAUCCCUCUCCUGGAACAUGAAUGCCUCUGUGCAGAGGGAAUUUUUCCUUAAAGUCACAUGAUUACAUAUCAAUAAUUCUGUAAUUACAUUUGUUUCCUUAAUUUUUAAAUAAAUUCUAUUUUUACAGUG